UUAACCGUAAGCCUGUUUAUGGUUUAUAUCUUUCUAGUAAAGAAGAUUUAACUAAAACUGUAAAAUUUAUUGAUCAAAUUGGUGGUUUAAAGGGAAAUAAAUUAUCUCAAUAUCAGACAUGGAAAAAUAAAUUUAAUCUUUAAUUAGAUUAUAAUUAAAUUUUAAUUAAUGUUGUCAUAUAUAUUAAGAAAUAUUUUAAGAAAUAAAAAAAACUAAGUACAUUAGAAGAAGUGUUAAUAAGACAAUUAAUAAAGAAGAGUGCUCGAGCCGUAUGCGCUGAAAGGUGCUUGUACGGUUCUUAGAGGGGGAAAGGCGGUGACGCCCUACCUAUCUCAAAUAGAGACCCUUGUAUCCCUCACUGUCAACGAUGAAUGGUAGUUACUAGGGAGAAAUGACCUAGAGACGAUGUUAACACGAAAACCAUUCCGCCUUGUGAGUACGACUGCAAAGUUGAAAACAAAAAAAUUAGUCGGUUUCGGAGCAAACGAAGUGAAGCAUGUUAUUUAAUGCGAUAAUCCGCGUAAAACCUUACCAGUUCUUGUAUAAAAACUUUAGUUAAUAGCUAAAGGAGUUAUUUUGUUAUUUAAGUUAUUAGGUAACAGGUACUUAAUACAGGUGUUGCAUGGCUGUCUUCAGUCCGUAUCGUGAGGAGUGAGGUUAAAUCCGUUAACGGACGCAAUCCCUAUUGUUAAUUUGUACUUAACAAUUUAUGAUUCUGAUAAAGUUUCAUUUGGGGCUAAGACAAGCCCUUAUGGCCCUUAUGGACUGGGCUAUAGACGUGCUAUAAAGAUUUUCACAAAGUGACGCAAGACUUCUCUUAUUUCCCUAAACAGGAAAAAUAAAUUUUCUUUAAUUAAAAAUUAUAGAGCAUAAGGAAGAGCUAAUCAUUAAAAAAAAUCAAAAUAUUAUAUUAAUGAUACAGAUUGUCGCCUGAAACUUGGUGGCAUGAAGGAGGAAUUUCGAGUAAUCGUUGAUCAUUAGGCGCAACGGUGAAACUUAAAUCCGAGAUGAACUAACCGUCUGUCGCUGGGAAGGAGCUUAUUUUGGUGGAAAAUAAGUCAAGGUAUUAAUUUUUGAGUUCUUAACUUGACCUUAAUGAAGUAAUUAUAACAAAAUUUAAGGCUUAUAUGCUUU
rnacentral:rRNA from 1 species